rnacentral:rRNA from 1 species
GACGAACGCUGGCGGCGUGCUUAACACAUGCAAGUCGAACGGAAAGGCCCUGCUUGCAGGGUACUCGAGUGGCGAACGGGUGAGUAACACGUGGGUGAUCUGCCCUGCACUUCGGGAUAAGCCUGGGAAACUGGGUCUAAUACCGGAUAGGAGCCAUUUUUAGUGUGAUGGUUGGAAAGUUUUUUCGGUGUAGGAUGAGCUCGCGGCCUAUCAGCUUGUUGGUGGGGUAAUGGCCUACCAAGGCGGCGACGGGUAGCCGGCCUGAGAGGGUGGACGGCCACCAUGGGGCUGGGGUACGGGCCAGACUCCUACGGGGGGCAGCAGGGGGGAAUAUUGCACAAUGGGCGGAAGCCUUAUGCAGCGACGCCGCGUGGGGGAUUACGGCCUUCGGGUUGUAAACUCCUUUUGCUAGGGACGAAGCUUUUUGUGACGGUACCUAGAUAAGAAGCACCGGCUAACUACGUG